rnacentral:rRNA from 2 species
UGCAGUCGAGCGGACAGAUGGGAGCUUGCUCCCUGAUGUUAGCGGCGGACGGGUGAGUAACACGUGGGUAACCUGCCUGUAAGACUGGGAUAACUCCGGGAAACCGGGGCUAAUACCGGAUGGUUGUCUGAACCGCAUGGUUCAGACAUAAAAGGUGGCUUCGGCUACCACUUACAGAUGGACCCGCGGCGCAUUAGCUAGUUGGUGAGGUAACGGCUCACCAAGGCGACGAUGCGUAGCCGACCUGAGAGGGUGAUCGGCCACACUGGGACUGAGACACGGCCCAGACUCCUACGGGAGGCAGCAGUAGGGAAUCUUCCGCAAUGGACGAAAGUCUGACGGAGCAACGCCGCGUGAGUGAUGAAGGUUUUCGGAUCGUAAAGCUCUGUUGUUAGGGAAGAACAAGUGCCGUUCAAAUAGGGCGGCACCUUGACGGUACCUAACCAGAAAGCCACGGCUAACUACGUGCCAGCAGCCGCGGUAAUACGUAGGUGGCAAGCGUUGUCCGGAAUUAUUGGGCGUAAAGGGCUCGCAGGCGGUUUCUUAAGUCUGAUGUGAAAGCCCCCGGCUCAACCGGGGAGGGUCAUUGGAAACUGGGGAACUUGAGUGCAGAAGAGGAGAGUGGAAUUCCACGUGUAGCGGUGAAAUGCGUAGAGAUGUGGAGGAACACCAGUGGCGAAGGCGACUCUCUGGUCUGUAACUGACGCUGAGGAGCGAAAGCGUGGGGAG